UGGGUGAUACGAUUGGGGCACCGGACUAUACUGUGGUGGUGCCGGGUGAUGCGGUUGGGGCACCGGAUCAUACUGUGGUAGUCCUGGAUGGUAUUGUGGAGGAGCAGGGUCGUAUUGGUGUGGCUCAGGAUCUUCCUGCUGCAGGGGUGGCUCAACCUAUGGUUGGGGGGGGGAGGGUCAGGUAGCUCCCUCCAUUCCUCCCAGACCUACUGGGGCAGCGAGAGUC
rnacentral:lncRNA from 1 species